CCUGACUUAGGACAGGUGCAAACAUUUGCAGCGGGAUCAAACGUGUUAAUGGUACCAAACAUUCUCCCUUUUUACUGAAACAAUAGUAUAACAUCACAACAUAGAAAAACAGACGAUAAAAUAUCAAUUGGAAGGCUUAACUCAAUCAAAAAACGUUAAUUAACACACUAUGAACGAAUACAUUUGAUCUGCGAUACCUGAAUGCAAAUACAUAGUUAAUAAAAUUAUUAAGGACAAACAUUCAAGGCCAAAAAAGCAAACAAACAAGUCCAAACAAAGCCAUGGCAAGACACCACCGCGAAAUAUUUAGCAACCCUUAGAAAAUAAU
rnacentral:lncRNA from 1 species